AAUGGCUUGAGAUACUUCCAACAAGUUCAAAUGGGGUAUAUUCGUCAGUCAAAACGUUAAUCGUGAAGGAGCAAAAGUUUGUUCAUGAGCUGUCAUGCUCGCUAGGCGAGCAGAAUGGGUCGCCUAGCGAGUCCCAAGAAAAGCCACCAGAAUCACCUACGCUCAGAGGAAUUUCUUGAACUGUCAUGCUCGCUAGGCGAAGCCCACGUGUUUAAAAAAA
rnacentral:lncRNA from 1 species